GGCCUAAUGGUCUAGUAGUAUGAUUCUCGCUUUGGGAGUGUCUCCGCAUGCGAGAGGUCCUGGGUUCAAUUCCCAGUUAGGCCC